rnacentral:rRNA from 1 species
UACGUAGGGUGCAAGCGUUAAUCGGAAUUACUGGGCGUAAAGGGCGCGUAGGCGGAUAGUUUAGUCAGAGGUAAAAGCCCAGGGCUCAACCUUGGAACUGCCUUUGAUACUGGCUAUCUUGAGUUCGGGAGAGGUGAGUGGAAUGCCGAGUGUAGAGGUGAAAUUCGUAGAUAUUCGGCGGAACACCAGUGGCGAAGGCGACUCACUGGCCCGAUACUGACGCUGAGGCGCGAAAGCGUGGGGAGCAAACAGG